rnacentral:rRNA from 1 species
GUGUCAGCAGCCGCGGUAAUACGUACCGUCCAAACGUUAUUCGGAAUUACUGGGCUUAAAGGGUACGUAGGCGGCGCUGUCAGUCGGGUGUGAAAGCCCUCGGCUCAACCGAGGAAUUGCGCCCGAUACUGCAGUGCUUGAGGGAGACAGAGGUAAGCGGAACUGAUGGUGGAGCGGUGAAAUGCGUUGAUAUCAUCAGGAACACCAGUGGCGAAAGCGGCUUACUGGGUCUCUUCUGACGCUGAGGUACGAAAGCUAGGGGAGCGAAGGGGAUUAGAAACCCCCGUAGUCC